rnacentral:rRNA from 1 species
UACGUAGGUCCCCGAGCGUUGUCCGGAUUUAUUGGGCGUAAAGGGAGCGCAGGCGGUCAGGAAAGUCUGGAGUAAAAGGCUAUGGCUCAACCAUAGUGUGCUCUGGAAACUGUCUGACUUGAGUGCAGAAGGGGAGAGUGGAAUUCCAUGUGUAGCGGUGAAAUGCGUAGAUAUAUGGAGGAACACCAGUGGCGAAAGCGGCUCUCUGGUCUGUCACUGACGCUGAGGCUCGAAAGCGUGGGUAGCGAACAGGAUUAGAACCGUACCGUCGU